rnacentral:rRNA from 1 species
AUUGAACGCUGGCGGCAGGCUUAACACAUGCAAGUCGAACGAGUGGCGGACGGGUGAGUAAUGAUUGGGGAUCUUGCUUAUGGAGGGGGAUAACUACGGGAAACUGUAGCUAAUACCGCGUACUAUAGGAUGAGCCCAAGUGGGAUUAGGUAGUUGGUGGGGUAAAGGCUCACCAAGCCGACGAUCUCUAGCUGGUCUGAGAGGAUGACCAGCCACACGGGGACUGAGAAACGGCCCAGACUCCUACGGGAGGCAGCAGUGGGGAAUAUUGCACAAUGGGGGCAACCUGAUGCAGCCAUGCCGCGUGUAUGUAGAAGGCCUUCGGGUUGUAAAGUACUUUUGGUAGGGAGGCGUUACCUACAGAAGAAGCACCGGCUAACUCCGUGCCAGCAGCCGCGGUAAUUC